rnacentral:rRNA from 1 species
GACGAACGCUGGCGGCGUGCUUAACACAUGCAAGUCGAACGGAAAGGCCCUGCUUUUGUGGGGUGCUCGAGUGGCGAACGGGUGAGUAACACGUGAGUAACCUGCCCUUGACUUUGGGAUAACUUCAGGAAACUGGGGCUAAUACCGGAUAGGAGCUCCUGCUGCAUGGUGGGGGUUGGAAAGUUUCGGCGGUUGGGGAUGGACUCGCGGCUUAUCAGCUUGUUGGUGGGGUAGUGGCUUACCAAGGCUUUGACGGGUAGCCGGCCUGAGAGGGUGACCGGCAACAGUGGGCAUGAGAACGGCCCGAGACUCCGGGGGGGGCAAGCGGGGGGGAUUUUGCCACAGGGGCCGGACGCCGUAUGCAGCACCCCGGGGGGGGGAAGGAGGCCUUGCGGUUUAAAACCCGCUGCCGCUGGAGACGAAGCGGGGGGGAGGAAAGGGGAUAAAGAGACCCGGACAAACUACGGC